CAGUAGCCGCGGUAAUACGAAGGGUGCAAGCGUUAAUCGGAAUUACUGGGCGUAAAGCGUGCGUAGGCGGUUUGUUAAGUCUGCUGUGAAAUCCCCGGGCUCAACCUGGGAAUGGCAGUGGAUACUGGCAAGCUAGAGUGUGUCAGAGGAUGGUGGAAUUCCCGGUGUAGCGGUGAAAUGCGUAGAGAUCGGGAGGAACAUCAGUGGCGAAGGCGGCCAUCUGGGACAACACUGACGCUGAGGCACGAAAGCGUGGGGAGCAAACAGGGUUAGAUACCCGUGUAGUCCCUGUCUCUUAUAC
rnacentral:rRNA from 1 species